CCUACGGGUGGCAGCAGUGGGGAAUAUUGCACGAUGGGGGAAACCCUGAUGCAGCGACGCCGCGUGAGCGCUGAAGUAUUUCGGUAUGUAAAGCUCUAUCAGCAGGGAAGAAAAUGACGGUACCUGACUAAGAAGCCCCGGCUAACUAAGUGCCAGCAGCCGCGGGAAGACGUAGGGGGCAAGCGUUAUCCGGAUUGACUGGGUGUAAAGGGAGCGUAGACGGCGGUGCAAGCCAGAUGUGAAAGCCCGGGGCUCAACCCCGGGACUGCAUUUGGAACUGUGCUGCUAGAGUGUCGGAGAGGCAGGCGGAAUUCCUAGGGUAGCGGUGAAAUGCGUAGAUAUUAGGAGGAACACCAGUGGCGAAGGCGGCCUGCUGGACGAUGACUGACGUUGAGGCUCGAAAGCGUGGGGAGCAAACAGGAUUAGAUACCCCAGUAGUC
rnacentral:rRNA from 1 species